UACGUAGGGGGCAAGCGUUGUCCGGAAUCAUUGGGCGUAAAGAGCUCGUAGGCGGUCUGUUGCGUCGGCUGUGAAAACCCGGGGCUCAACUCCGGGCCUGCAGCCGAUACGGGCAGACUAGAGUUCGGCAGGGGAGACUGGAAUUCCUGGUGUAGCGGUGAAAUGCGCAGAUAUCAGGAGGAACACCGGUGGCGAAGGCGGGUCUCUGGGCCGAUACUGACGCUGAGGAGCGAAAGCGUGGGGAGCGAACAGG
rnacentral:rRNA from 1 species